AUCCAUUUGUAGUUCAUAAGCGGGAUGAUUGAGUUUUCACGUUCAUGCAAGAGAUGUGCCUCCUACAAAUCUUGUUAUGAUGUCAGCACAUUACCCGUCUAACA
ensembl:snoRNA